rnacentral:rRNA from 1 species
GACGAACGCUGGCGGCGUGCUUAACACAUGCAAGUCGAACGGAAAGGCCCUGCUUUUGUGGGGUGCUCGAGUGGCGAACGGGUGAGUAGCACGUGAGUAACCUGCCCUUGACUUUGGGAUAACUUCAGGAAACUGGGGCUAAUACCGGAUAGGAGCUCCUGCUGCAUGGUGGGGGUUGGAACGUUUCGGCGGUUGGGGAUGGACUCGCGGCUUAUCAGCUUGUUGGUGGGGUAGUGGCUUACCAAGGCUUUGACGGGUAGCCGGCCUGAGAGGGUGACCGGCCACAUUGGGACUGAGAUACGGCCCAGACUCCUACGGGAGGCAGCAGUGGGGAAUAUUGCACAAUGGGCGGAAGCCUGAUGCAGCAACGCCGCGUGCGGGAUGACGGCCUUCGGGUUGUAAACCGCUUUCGCCUGUGACGAAGCGUGAGUGACGGUAAUGGGUAAAGAAGCACCGGCUAACUACGUG